GGGGUUGUGGCUCAGCGGUAGAGCACUCGCCUAGCACAUGUGAGGCCCUGGGUUGGAUCCUCAGCACCACA
rnacentral:tRNA from 1 species